UACGGAGGGUGCUAGCGUUGUUCGGAAUCACUGGGCGUAAAGGGUGCGUAGGCGGCGCGGUAAGUCGGGUGUGAAAUCUCGGGGCUUAACUCCGAAACUGCAUUCGAUACUGCCGUGCUUGAGGACUGGAGAGGAGACUGGAAUUUACGGUGUAGCGGUGAAAUGCGUAGAUAUCGUAAGGAAGACCAGUGGCGAAGGCGGGUCUCUGGACAGUUCCUGACGCUGAGGCACGAAGGCCAGGGGAGCAAACGGG
rnacentral:rRNA from 1 species